rnacentral:rRNA from 1 species
CAGUAGCCGCGGUAAUACGAAGGGUGCAAGCGUUAAUCGGAAUUACUGGGCGUAAAGCGCACGUAGGCGGCUUUGUAAGUUAGAGGUGAAAGCCCGGAGCUCAACUCCGGAAUUGCCUUUAAGACUGCAGAGCUAGCAGGUGAGAGAGGUGAGUGGAAUUCCGAGUGUAGAGGUGAAAUUCGUAGGUAUUCGGAAGAACACCAGUGGCGAAGGCGGCUCACUGGCUCAUACUGGACGCUGAGGCACGAAAGCGUGGGGAGCAAACAGGAUUAGAUACCCCCGUAGUCCCUGUCUCUUAUAA